GCUUACGGCCACACCGCCUGGUUCAUGCCCGAUCUCGUUUGAUCUCGGAAGCCUAAGAUAGGUUGGGCCUGGUUAGUGCUUGGAUGGGAGACCGCCUGGGAAUACCAGGUGCUGUAAGGC
rnacentral:rRNA from 1 species